CAUCUCAAUAGGCUUCUCCAGGGAUCCAUGGUGGUGGCUGGACCUGCUCAGCUCUCCCUCAGGCUGGCAUCUUCUACUGUUGCCCCGAUAUGAAGCAGGCAUCUCAUGUAGAAAGUAAGGUCUGACAAUGUUGAUCAUCUUUGGCAGACAGCAGUCCUGAACCAAAUGGAA